CCUACGGGAGGCAGCAGUGAGGAAUAUUGGUCAAUGGACGAGAGUCUGAACCAGCCAAGUAGCGUGAAGGAUGACUGCCCUAUGGGUUGUAAACAUCUUUUAUAAGGGAAUAAAACGAGGCACGUGUGCCUUUUUGCAUGUACUUUAUGAAUAAGGAUCGGCUAAAUCCGUGCCAGCAGCCGCGGUAAUACGGAGGAUCCGAGCGUUAUCCGGAUUGAUUGGGUUUAAAGGGAGCGUAGAUGGGUUGUUAAGUCAGUUGUGAAAGUUUGCGGCUCAACCGUAAAAUUGCAAUUGAUACUGGCAGUCUUGAGUACAGUUGAGGUAGGCGGAAUUCGUGGUGUAGCGGUGAAAUGCUUAGAUAUCACGAAGAACCCCGAUUGCGAAGGCAGCUUACUAAACUGUGACUGACAUUGAUGCUCGAAAGUGUGGGUAUCAAACAGGAUUAGAUACCCCAGUAGUC
rnacentral:rRNA from 1 species